GCUUAACACAUGCAAGUCGAGGGGCAGCAUUCCUGUUUGCUUGCAAACUGGAGAUGGCGACCGGCGCACGGGUGAGUAACACGUAUCCAACCUGCCGAUAACUCGGGGAUAGCCUUUCGAAAGAAAGAUUAAUACCCGAUGGUAUAAUCAGACCGCAUGGUCUUGUUAUUAAAGAAUUUCGGUUAUCGAUGGGGAUGCGUUCCAUUAGGCAGUUGGUGAGGUAACGGCUCACCAAACCUUCGAUGGAUAGGGGUUCUGAGAGGAAGGUCCCCCACAUUGGAACUGAGACACGGUCCAAACUCCUACGGGAGGCAGCAGUGAGGAAUAUUGGUCAAUGGGCGCAGGCCUGAACCAGCCAAGUAGCGUGAAGGAUGACUGCCCUAUGGGUUGUAAACUUCUUUUAUAUGGGAAUAAAGUUUUCCACGUGUGGAAUUUUGUAUGUACCAUAUGAAUAAGGAUCGGCUAACUCCGUGCCAGCAGCCGCGGUAAUACGGAGGAUCCGAGCGUUAUCCGGAUUUAUUGGGUUUAAAGGGAGCGUAGGUGGACAGUUAAGUCAGUUGUGAAAGUUUGCGGCUCAACCGUAAAAUUGCAGUUGAUACUGGCUGUCUUGAGUACAGUAGAGGUGGGCGGAAUUCGUGGUGUAGCGGUGAAAUGCUUAGAUAUCACGAAGAACUCCGAUUGCGAAGGCAGCUCACUGGACUGCAAACUGACACUGAUGCUCGAAAGUGUGGGUAUCAAACAGGAUUAGAUACCCUGGUAGUCCACACAGUAAACGAUGAAUACUCGCUGUUUGCGAUAUACAGUAAGCGGCCAAGCGAAAGCAUUAAGUAUUCCACCUGGGGAGUACGCCGGCAACGGUGAAACUCAAAGGAAUUGACGGGGGCCCGCACAAGCGGAGGAACAUGUGGUUUAAUUCGAUGAUACGCGAGGAACCUUACCCGGGCUUAAAUUGCAUUUGAAUAUAUUGGAAACAGUAUAGUCGUAAGACAAAUGUGAAGGUGCUGCAUGGUUGUCGUCAGCUCGUGCCGUGAGGUGUCGGCUUAAGUGCCAUAACGAGCGCAACCCUUAUCUUUAGUUACUAACAGGUCAUGCUGAGGACUCUAGAGAGACUGCCGUCGUAAGAUGUGAGGAAGGUGGGGAUGACGUCAAAUCAGCACGGCCCUUACGUCCGGGGCUACACACGUGUUACAAUGGGGGGUACAGAAGGCAGCUACCUGGUGACAGGAUGCUAAUCCCAAAAGCCUCUCUCAGUUCGGAUCGAAGUCUGCAACCCGACUUCGUGAAGCUGGAUUCGCUAGUAAUCGCGCAUCAGCCAUGGCGCGGUGAAUACGUUCCCGGGCCUUGUACACACCGCCCGUCAAGCCAUGAAAGCCGGGGGUACCUGAAGUACGUAACCGCAAGGAGCGUCCUAGGGUAAAACUGGUAAUUGGGGC
rnacentral:rRNA from 1 species